UUAGUCAAACUGAUGGUUCUUGGAUAUGAAAAUAUAUGUGAACCUGUUUGAUCUUUCAUCGCCGGGUUUUACAGCCCGGUUAGAAUUGUUAGCAAGUAUAUGCAAGCUAAAUUGAAUAUAUGCCUGUCUAUGAAAUACACCAUGCGAGAGUAAUAUGUAGCGGUGAUUUUAUCCCRUGCAAUCUCUUGACRUGCUACGUAGACAGUAGAAAAUAUUUAGUGAGUAACUUGUUACAUUUUAUAAAAUAAAAUAAAAUCAAACAUA
rnacentral:misc_RNA from 1 species